AGAUUGAACGCUGGCGGCAUGCCUUACACAUGCAAGUCGAACGGCAGCACGGGAGCAAUCCUGGUGGCGAGUGGCGAACGGGUGAGUAACACAUCGGAACGUGCCCAAUCGUGGGGGAUAACUACGCGAAAGCGUAGCUAAUACCGCAUACGAUCUAUUGAUGAAAGCAGGGGAUCGCAAGACCUUGCGCGAAUGGAGCGGCCGAUGGCAGUAUUAGGUAGUUGGUGAGGUAAAGGCCCACCAAGCCUUCGAUCUGUACGCUGGUCUGAGACGGACGACCAGCCACACUGGACUGAGACACCGGCCCAGACUCCUACGGGAGCAGCAGGU
rnacentral:rRNA from 1 species